AACGAACGCUGGCGGCAAGCUUAACACAUGCAAGUCGAACGGUUGCAGCAAUGCAGCAGUGGCAGACGGGUGAGUAACACGUGGGAACCUUCCUAGGGGUACGGAACAACUCAGGGAAACUUGAGCUAAUACCGUAUACGUCCGUGAGGAGAAAGAUUUAUCGCCCUUAGACGGGCCCGCGUCGGAUUAGCUAGUUGGUGGGGUAACGGCCUACCAAGGCGACGAUCCGUAGCUGAUCUUAGAGGAUGAUCAGCCACACUGGGACUGAGACACGGCCCAGACUCCUGCGGGAGGCAGCAGUGGGGAAUCUUGGACAAUGGGCGCAAGCCUGAUCCAGCCAUGCCGCGUGAGUGAAGAAGGUCUUCGGAUUGUAAAGCUCUUUUGCCAGGGACGAUAAUGACGGUACCUGGAGAAUAAGCCCCAGCAAACUUCGUGCCAGCCGCCGCGGUAA
rnacentral:rRNA from 1 species